CUGGCUGUCAGGGAGGGCAAUGCUUACCGAAAAGGAAUGGAGCUCUUGGCUGGAGAGGGGUUGAGGUUGAAAUGAGGAUGGGGGGCUGUUUCCAAGGUCCUGAAAGCACAGUCAGGUCUCAGUUGCUGCUCCAAGUCGCCCCUGCAGCCAGGUUCCCUGAGCCCUUCCAGAGAUGGUCAGCAGUGGAG
rnacentral:lncRNA from 1 species